GUCAGGAUGGCCGAGUGGUCUAAGGCGCCAGACUCAAGUUCUGGUCUCUGAAUGGAGGCGUGGGUUCAAAUCCCACUUCUGACA
rnacentral:tRNA from 1 species